rnacentral:lncRNA from 1 species
ACUAUUACUAUAAGUGAAGUAACUCAGUAACGAAAAACCAAACAUCACAUGUUCUCACUCAUAAGUGGGAGCUACGCAGUGAGGACACAAAAGCAUAAGAGAGGGCUUUGGGUACUUGGGGGAAAUAGUGGGAGGAGAUGAGGGAUAAAAGACUACACAUUGAGUACAGUGUACACCUGCUCCCUAAAAACCUAUUGAAAUAAAAAAAAUAAUUUUUAAAAAAUCUUAUUUUAUGAGAUAUCUUCUGAGAUCACUCUGGUAAGUGAAUGAGGAUAAUACCUUGUUACUGUCUAUGAGAAUAAGAAAAUCCUAAUUCUGCAUGGUUUUUUUUUGAUACCACACUAGACAGCCAGGGUAAGGGAUUUGUGUUGUUACAGCUAGGCAAGAGUUGAAGUCUAGACUCUUCCCUCAACAUUUGCUGGUAGGGAUGAAAAUGAGGCCAAAAUUUUCAUAAUUUCUGCACUGUUUAGCUGGAAUACAGUGAUUACCUAAAAGUUUUCUAUCGUGCUAAAUUGCUCCAUUCCAGGUUCUCUAACUAGAGACAGUAUGCUUUUCUUGGGGACAUUUUUGUCUGCUUCUGUUGGCAUUUCAUUUUUUUUUUUUUCUGGUUUCUUCAGUACCCAGUCUAGAGUAUAUGAGGCAAAAAGAAACUCCAGUAAAAUUCCCUCCAUGUCAUUGCUUGUGUCCCAAGUUACCUGUAUAGUCUGCCUUCUCUCUAUUUUUCCAAAUAUUCCUAUAUUUAUGUUAUAUAUAUUCUUAUAUUUAUGUUAUAUAUAAUGCCCAGGGGGUUUGUUGUACUUAAUGGAAGGAACAGAAAAAACUACCUCUGCUCUACCUUCCCAGAAGUGCAAGUCCUGCCAUUUGCAUUUUAAAAAUAAUUUUUACAUAUACAAUACAUUUAUAUACAUCCAUAUAAAGUCAUAACAAAUUUCCUUUUGUUAUAACUUUAUAUUUGUAUAGAUAUAAUUUAUAUAGAUAUAAUAUAUACUAUACUAAUAAUAUAUAAAUAUAAAUAUAUGAAAAACUAUAUUUUCAUAGGUUAUCACUGAAAGAGUACACAUGAAACUUAUAGCAGAAAUUAUUGCUGAAGAAAUGUUACAAAAUACUGUGUACUAUUUAAAACAUUAUUCACACUUUAAAUUUAGCCUUUCAGUUAGAACCUCCUUCUUCCAGUAAUCCACCAAAGUGAUGAACACAAAGGUAAAGAGGAGGAGAAGCACCCAAUAUAUGUUCUCUAGGCUUUUUAGAAAAUAUGGAGGUGCUCCUUUGGCCAUAUACAUGUGAACCUGUAAGAAUGGUGAUACUGCAGACAUCAAAGAAUGCAUACUGUUCAAAAAGGAAUGCCCCACAAAUGUUACCAGGGAAAAACUGGAAUAUUCUACAAUGUACCCAGCAUGCUGUUGGCAUUGUUAUAAAUAAACAAGUUAAGAACAAGAUUCUUGCCAAGAUAAUUAACGUGCAUGUUGAGCAUAUUAAGUGCUCUGACAACCGAGAUAACUUUUUGAAAUGCAGGAAGGAAAAUGAUCAGAAAAAGAAGGAAGCAAAAGAGAAAGGUAUGUGAGUUCAACUGAAGUGCCAGCCUGCUCUACCCAAAGAAGUAUACUUUCUGAGACCUAGUGCAAAGCCUGAGCUGCUGGAACCUAUUUCCUGUGAAUUCAUGGCAUAAUAGGUGUAAAAAAAAAUAGAAGACCUUUUGACUAUAAACAAACAAACUGAAAAAUAUAUAUGUCUAGACAAAACACUUUAAAAGCCCUUUACAAGGGAAUAUCCAAAUGGGAAAUAAACGUAAGAAAAGGUGAUCAACUUUAUUAUUUAUCAGGUAAGUGCAAAUUCAAAUCACAUUACAAUUCUGCUGCAUAUUCACAAUUGCUAAAAUGAAAAAAUGAGAAAAGGAAAAAAGGUAGACAUAUGGAGCAACUAAAAAUCCACACACUGCUGGUUGUACAGUAAUUUAUUCUAUCAUUUGGCAGCGUUUACUAGAGGAGAGCAUAUCCAUAACCAGCCAUUUAACUUCUAAGUAUAUUCCUAACAGAAAUGCACAUACAUGUUCAAAUGACAUGCACAGGAAUAUAAGUAAUAGUCUUAGUCAUAAUGGUAGAAUAUUGGCAACUACCAUAGGUAAAAUAUAGGAAUAAAUUUUCAACUCUUUAUCAACUAGAAUACUGUAGAACAAUGAAAGUGAAUGAACUACAACUACAAGCAACAUUAUGAAUGUAUCUCACAACAUAUGGUUGAAUCAAUAAAAUCCAAUCUUUAUUUGUAUGCUUCUCAGGAUAAAAUGUUUUUGAAAAUCUAAUAUAAUAUAUGGCAUUAAAAGGAGAAUGGAGGUUACCCUUCAGGCACAAUGAAUAAAAGGGUGCAUUAAAGGGACUUCUGGAGUGCUGUCAAUGUUCUGCUUUUUGAUCUAGGUGCUGGUUGCAUGGGGGAAUUUAAAUUGUAAAAAGUCAUCAAACCAUACACGUAUGAUUUCUCAACUUUUCUAUAUAUUAUACCUCAAAAAUUCAAAAAUGAAUGAAAAUUUUCUUAUAAUUAAACUAUGGAAAUAUAAAUGCAGUGAACUUAUUGGAACACUUCUUUUUUAUACAUACUGAUUAACAAAAAGAAUUUUCUAUGUUUUUAAUUAUCAUUUUGCAAAAAAUCAAGUGAAGAUUAUUUUGUCUUCUCUUUGCUUUCCAGAUUCUUAAGCAUUUCAAUUAAACAUCAUUGGGCAGGGGGUAUAUGGGCAAGGAGUAUGUGAGGUUGCAUUUGGCACAAAGAAAAUCUUAAUAAAUUAUAAAUAUUCAAUGUUUUAAUUUAGACCACGUUUUACAACCAUAAUAAAGUUAGAAAUUAAAAGUUCCAAUGAGUCAAAUGUAAGAGUACACAAAAAUUUAUAAAACUUAUUCAAAACAAAUAAAAUAAACAUUAAAUUACUAACAUUUAAGAAAAUUAAAUCAAUGAAAAAAAUGUGUACAAGAAAAAGAAGAUCAAUAAUGUCUCAGACCUAAAAAUCUAGAAAUCAGCCUUUGGCUCCCCCUUUCUGUCACACCUACAUACCUAGUCUAGCAACAAUUUUGCUAGACCAGGGUUUCUCAAGCGCAACACCAUUGAAAUUUUGGGCUGGAUGAUUCUUUGUAUUAGGAGUUGUCUUGUGCUUUGUAGAAUGGCUAACAUCAUUCCUGGCAUCUACCAUCUAGAUGCCAGUUGUACCACCUCCAUCCCUGGUUGUGACAAUCAAAAAGGUCUCCAUAUAUUGCCAGAUGUUCUCUAGGCACAAAAUAAACCAAUUUGAAAUGAUGGCAUUAGACCCUACCUCUUUAUUUUGAAUCCUUCCAUUUCUUUUCCAUUCCACUCCUAACUCCCUGUUCAAAGUCAGUGUCUUCUCUUGUAUGAACUAUUAAAGCAAUUUCUCUUUGUUUUCAAUCAUGGUUCUUUAUGAUUCAUUCUUCACACAGCAGCCAUAUAAAUAUAUUUUGUCACUUUUCAAUGGCUUCACUGGGGACUUAAAAUAAAUAUUAAACUUUUCACCUAUGGCUACGAGGCCUGAAUUACUUGGCAUCUCUUCAUCUUUCUGGACUUAUGUUCUGCCUUUCUUACCCAAUCUCAUGACAUUUUCGACAUCUGGAAUUUCUUCACUUUUUCUAUGUUAACUUAGCUCAUUUUCAUCUUUGGCUCUUUUGCAGGUCUCUGCCUGGAAUGCUCUUCUGGAAUGUUGCAUCACUCACCUUUCAGUUCAAAAUUAAACAUUGUCUUCUCAAAUAGUCUUUCUCUGAUCACAAGCUCUAAAUCAGUCACAUUUUAAAUUUCUUCAAACUCAAAGCAUUUUAAUUAUCUUCAUAGUAGUUAUUAUAUUUUCUUUAUUAUUAUUUGCUAUCCCUCAAAUAAAAAAAUAAAAAGGUCAGACUCAUGAAGAUCAGAGAGAUCUGACCAAUAAGAAAGGUUACUAGAAAUUCAAUGGAUGCAGGCAAUCGCAUGAUCAAGGAAGAGCAUGUCUAAAACAGUCUAAAACCAUCAGCAUAUCUCAUAUGUCUUCUUUCAUUGGGGACAUUGGAUUGAGAUUUAACAUACGAGGUUUAAAGCAAUGCAUGUGAAGCAUCAUUUAUACAAAAGUAACUGUAUUGGUCAUAAAACAUAUCCAUUUUAUACCCAAUAAUUACAUGAGAUGUAAUAUUUUCCAGCAUACUUUGCUCCAUAAUUCCAUCAAUUCCAAAUUUAUAUUUUAUAAGCAACUAGAGCAGGUCCUGAGAAAAGCAUUCCACAGAUAAAGACUCUAUUUCCUUCUGGUAAAUACCAUCAGAGGGUCUGAUAACAUGUUGUCAAGAUGACUUGACCUGAACAUUUUUCUUUUUCUGACUGCAUGUAUGUCCUCAUGGGAAUGGUGAUAAGCUGUAGGCCAGCUACUAACCCUUUUCUUCCUACUCCAAAUACACUCCCCAUCUCCCAACACAAACCCACUUUUUCAGAGCAAGUACUUUCAGAGACGUCACUUCUGUAUCUCCUGUACCUAAAACUACACCUAGCACUUAGUAGCUUAUGAAGUUUAUAAAUAAAUAAACAAAAAGUUACAAGAAAAUCUAAUGCUCAUUGAUGAUGCAAGAUAAAAUUUCAUUUAAUUAUAAUAUAAUACUAGAAUUAUUCAGAAAUAAAAUAGCAAUAAAGAGAUCUUAACAUGCCUCUAUCAAAAUUAAAAACAUAAAUAUAAAUUAUUGGCAUAUAAGAAUAAAAUAUGAUUAGUAAGACUGUUCUAGCAUAAACAUGCUCUCUCACAUACAGAAACAGACACGUAUGUCAAACCACUUGUGUGCUGGAGCCAGCUCAUAGCUUGUAAGAGCCAACUGUUUUAUUAAUUUUGUGUCAGUUGUUAAAUACAGUUGUUACUAUGAAAAUUAUAAAACAUAAAACUAAAUAAAUAAUUUAAAAAAUAAAAGUAAUAAAAAUGGAAAAACAUCACUUUCUAAUUAGUUUACUGCAUUGUACUAUUAUCUAUGCCUUCAAGUUUAUGUUUAUUGUAUCUUUGGGGUGGAAUUACUAGAUAAUUGUGUAUUACUACUCAUUUCUUUCUAACUCCACAUUUAAUUACAUUACUUUGGGAGUGUAAGAUUGGCCACAGUAAGAGUAUUUAUGCCAUAAAUAUUUUAAAAAUGCUACAAAUUAGGCUUUUUCAUUUUGUGAUGAGAGCUAGUUGUUAAAUAAACAUUUACCAGCACAUCAUUAUACCAAACUGUAUAAUAAUAUAAAGAGGAAAAAAUAGAGCAGGUGAACAGAAAAAUGGACCAAAAAAUAAAAAAAGGUUAGAAAAAAAAGAACUAUAAAAGGUUAAUGAAAUAGAGAUUGAUAAACUAAUGUCAAUUAACUUUUUUCUUAAUAACAGAAACUGUGUUGUUUGGGACAGUGAUGGCACCAGCUGGAUAUGAUUCUCAGGUUCCCUUGAAAUUAGGGAUGGCCUUAUGAUAGUUCUUGUCCAUCAGGCAUAAGCAGAAAUGUUGGCCAUUUGGGAAAAGCUUCAGUUUUAUCAGCAGAUAUACAUUCAUACUUUGAGGCGGCUGGCAAGAUGGCGGAAUAGAAACAGCUUCGGUCUGCAGCUCCCAGCGAGAUCAACCCAGAAGGCGGGUGAUUUCUGCAUUUCCAACUGAGGUACUUGCUUUGUUCUUGAGAGUUUGAAGCUUACAUUGUCUAAAAAGUUGGGAUUCAAAGUGACAGUUGAUCCUGACUCACACGUCAAAAUAAUUCAAGAGAUUUCCUUAAGCUCUAUCGUGCUUUAAAAUCAACAUGCCUGGGAAUGUAAAUUAGUAUCGUCAUUAGAGAAAACAGUAUGGAGGUUCCUCAAACAAUUAAAAAUAAAAUUACUGUAUGAUCUAACAAUCCCAUUACUGGCUAUAUAUUCAAAGGAUAUGAAAUCAGUAUGUUAAAUAGUUAUAUGUACUCCCAUGUUUAUUGCAACAUUAUUAACAAUAGCCAAGAAAUGGAAUCAACCUAAGCGUCUAUCAACAGAUAAAUGAAUAAAGAAAAUGUGGUAUACAUACACAAUGAAAUACUAUUCAGCCUUAAAAGAGGGGGAAAUUCUGUCGUUUGUGACAACAUGAAUAAAUCUGGAGGACACUAAUGUUAGGUGAAAUAAGUUAUGCACAGAAAGAUAAAUACUGCAUGAUCUCACUUACAUGUGCAAUCUGAAAAAA